rnacentral:rRNA from 1 species
UACGGAGGGUGCGAGCGUUAUCCGGAAUUACUGGGUUUAAAGGGUGCGUAGGCGGCGCAGUAAGUCAGGAGUGAAAGUUUGCGGCUCAACCGUAAAAUUUGCUUUUGAUACGUGCUGUGCUAGAAGUUAGGAUGAGGUCAGCGGAAUGAUGGCAUGUAGCGGUGAAAUGCAUAGAUAUGCCAUAGAACACCCAAUUGCGAAGGCAGCUGGCUAGACCUAUAUUGACGCUGGAGGCACGAAAGCGUGGGGAGCAAACAGG